rnacentral:rRNA from 1 species
CGGCGGACGGGUGAGUAAUGCCUAGGAAUCUGCCUGGUAUGGGGGACAACGUUUCGAAAGGAACGCUAAUACCGCAUACGUCCUACGGGAGAAAGCAGGGGACCUUCGGGCCUUGCGCUAUCAGAUGAGCCUAGGUCGGAUUAGCUAGUUGGUGAGGUAAUGGCUCACCAAGGCGACGAUCCGUAACUGGUCUGAGAGGAUGAUCAGUCACACUGGAACUGAGACACGGUCCAGACUCCUACGGGAGGCAGCAGGU